rnacentral:rRNA from 1 species
UACGAAGGGAGCAAGCGUUGUCCGGAUUUAUUGGGCGUAAAGAGCUCGUAGGCGGUUUGUUGCGUCGGCUGUGAAAUCCCGAGGCUCAACCUCGGGUCUGCAGUCGAUACGAGCAAACUAGAGUGUUGCAGGGGAGACUGGAAUUCCUGGUGUAGCGGUGAAAUGCGCAGAUAUCAGGAGGAACACCGGUGGCGAAGGCGGGUCUCUGGGCAACAACUGACGCUGAGGAGCGAAAGCGUGGGGAGCGAACAGG